GAGAAGAACGCAGUGAAAUGCGAUACGUAAUGUGAAUUGCAGAUUUCAGUGAAUCAUCGAAUCUUUGAACGCACAUUGCGCCCGCCAGUAUUCUGGCGGGCAUGCCUGUUCGAGCGUCAUUUCAACCAUCAAGCCUUCGCUUGUGUUGGGGCCCCGCGGCUGCCGCGGUCCCCUAAAUCCAGUGGCGGGCUCGUCGUCGUACCGAGCGCAGUAGACAUCCUCGCUCCGGGAACCCGACGGGUGCCGGCCGUGAAACCCCCCACAUCAAGGUUGACCUCGGAUCAGGUAGGAAUACCCGCUGAACUUAAGCAUAUCAAUAAGCGGAGGA
rnacentral:misc_RNA from 1 species